GAGUUUGAUCCUGGCUCAGAAUCAACGCUGGCGGCGUGCCUAAUACAUGCAAGUCGAACGCGAAAGUGGAGCAAUCCAUGAGUAGAGUGGCAAACGGGUGAGUAACGCGUGGGUGACCUGCCUUCGAGCGGGGGAUAACGUCCCGAAAGGGACGCUAAUACCGCAUAACAUGCCGCCUUUUAACAGGUGGACAUCAAAGCUGGGGAUCGCAAGACCUAGCACUUGAAGAGGGGCCCGCGUCUGAUUAGCUAGUUGGUGGGGUAAUGGCUCACCAAGGCAACGAUCAGUAUCCGGCCUGAGAGGGCGGACGGACACACUGGGACUGAGACACGGCCCAGACUCCUACGGGAGGCAGCAGUGGGGAAUUGUUCGCAAUGGGCGCAAGCCUGACGACGCAACGCCGCGUGGAGGAUGAAGACCUUCGGGUCGUAAACUCCUUUCGAUCGAGACGAAUGGCCUCCGGGUGAACAAUCCGGAGGAGUGACGGUACCGAGAGAAGAAGCCCCGGCUAACUCCGUGCCAGCAGCCGCGGUAAUACGGGGGGGGCAAGCGUUGUUCGGAAUUACUGGGCGUAAAGAGUUGCGUAGGUGGCAGAGUAAGCGGACAGUGAAAGCGUGUGGCUCAACUAUACAUACAUUGUCUGAACUGCUCAGCUAGAGAGUGAGAGAGGUAGUUGGAAUUCCCAGUGUAGGAGUGAAAUCCGUAGAUAUUGGGAGGAACACCGAUGGCGUAGGCAGACUACUGGCUCAUUUCUGACACUAAGGCACGAAAGCGUGGGGAGCGAACGGGAUUAGAUACCCCGGUAGUCCACGCCGUAAACUAUGGAUGCUAGCUGUUAUUCGUAUCGACCCGAGUAGUAGCGAAGCUAACGCGUUAAGCAUCCCGCCUGUGGAGUACGGUCGCAAGACUAAAACAUAAAGGAAUUGACGGGGACCCGCACAAGCGGUGGAGCGUGUUGUUUAAUUCGAUGGUAAGCGAAGAACCUUACCAGGGCUUGACAUCCUGCUAAUUUCUCCGAAAGGAGAGAGUGCCUUCGGGCCGCAGUGACAGGUGUUGCAUGGCCGUCGUCAGCUCGUGUCGUGAGAUGUUUGGUUAAGUCCAUCAACGAGCGCAACCCUUGUGAUUAGUUGAAUUUUUCUAAUCAGACUGCCCCGGCAACGGGGAGGAAGGAGGGGAUGAUGUCAGGUCAGUAUUACCCUUACGCCCUGGGCUACAAACACGCUACAAUGGCCGGUACAAAGGGCAGCCAAGUCGCAAGACGGAGCAAAUCCCAUCAAAGCCGGUCUCAGUUCGGAUUGCAGGCUGAAACCCGCCUGCAUGAAGCUGGAAUCGCUAGUAACGGUAGGUCAGCACACUACCGUGAUACGUUCCCGGGUCUUGUACACAC
rnacentral:rRNA from 1 species